GUUCGCUUUGACAGCUCAUAAACUAAAAUUGGAAUGACACAGAAAAGUUUAGCAUGGUCCCUGUGCAAGGAUGACAUGCAAAUUCAUAGUCUUCCAUAUUAAA